rnacentral:rRNA from 1 species
AGUGAACGCUGGCGGUAGGCCUAACACAUGCAAGUCGAACGGCAGCACAGUAAGAGCUUGCUCUUACGGGUGGCGAGUGGCGGACGGGUGAGGAAUACAUCGGAAUCUACUUUUUCGUGGGGGAUAACGUAGGGAAACUUACGCUAAUACCGCAUACGACCUACGGGUGAAAGCAGGGGAUCUUCGGACCUUGCGCGAUUGAAUGAGCCGAUGUCGGAUUAGCUAGUUGGCGGGGUAAAGGCCCACCAAGGCGACGAUCCGUAGCUGGUCUGAGAGGAUGAGCAGCCACACUGGAACUGAGACACGGUCCAGACUCCUACGGGAGGCAGCAGUGGGGAAUAUUGGACAAGGGGCGCAAGCCUGAUCCAGCCAUACCGCGUGGGUGAAGAAGGCCUUCGGGUUGUAAAGCCCUUUUGUUGGGAAAGAAAAGCAGCAGGUUAAUACCCCGCUGUUCUGACGGUACCCAAAGAAUAAGCACCGGCUAACUUCGUG